GCCCUCUCUAAACAGAAAUAUUAAACAUUUGAAAAUAAAUCAAGAAUCAAUGCCUGACAAAUUGGCCGUACAUAGGAUUAUGACAUGUCUUGCGGGACCAUCAUUGUUUCCAAAGGAUAAAGAUAAUGAAAAAAAUUGAUAAUGAUAAUGUUUUAUAUUCGAGAUCUGGUGCAACGAAACAAGGCAUGUAAAAAAAAGACAGCUCGCAUUAUCCAUGCUUGAU